UACGGAGGGUGCAAGCGUUAUCCGGAUUUACUGGGUUUAAAGGGUGCGUAGGUGGGUAGAUAAGUCAGUGGUGAAAUCUCCGAGCUUAACUCGGAAACUGCCAUUGAUACUAUUUAUCUUGAAUAUCCUGGAGGUGAGCGGAAUAUGUCAUGUAGCGGUGAAAUGCUUAGAUAUGACAUAGAACACCAAUUGCGAAGGCAACUCACUACGGGGUCAUUGACACUGAGGCACGAAAGCGUGGGGAUCAAACAGG
rnacentral:rRNA from 1 species